rnacentral:rRNA from 1 species
CCUACGGGAGGCAGCAGUGGGGAAUAUUGCACAAUGGGGGAAACCCUGAUGCAGCAACGCCGCGUGAAGGAUGACGGUUUUCGGAUUGUAAACUUCUUUUCUUAGUGACGAAGACAGUGACGGUAGCUAAGGAAUAAGCAUCGGCUAACUACGUGCCAGCAGCCGCGGUAAUACGUAGGAUGCAAGCGUUAUCCGGAUUUACUGGGUGUAAAGGGAGCGCAGGCGGGACUGCAAGUUGGAUGUGAAAUACCGUGGCUUAACCACGGAACUGCAUCCAAAACUGUAGUUCUUGAGUGAAGUAGAGGCAAGCGGAAUUCCGAGUGUAGCGGUGAAAUGCGUAGAUAUUCGGAGGAACACCAGUGGCGAAGGCGGCUUGCUGGGCUUUAACUGACGCUGAGGCUCGAAAGUGUGGGGAGCAAACAGGAUUAGAUACCCUGGUAGUCCACACUGUAAACGAUGAUAGCUAGGUGUGGGGGGUCUGACCCCUUCCGUGCCGGAGUUAACGCAAUAAGCUAUCCACCUGGGGAGUACGACCGCAAGGUUGAAACUCAAAGGAAUUGACGGGGGCCCGCACAAGCAGUGGAGUAUGUGGUUUAAUUCGACGCAACGCGAAGAACCUUACCAAGUCUUGACAUCCCUUGACAGGCAUAGAAAUAUGUUUUCUCUUCGGAGCAAGGAGACAGGUGGUGCAUGGUUGUCGUCAGCUCGUGUCGUGAGAUGUUGGGUUAAGUCCCGCAACGAGCGCAACCCCUAUUGUUAGUUGCUACGCAAGAGCACUCUAGCGAGACUGCCGUUGACAAAACGGAGGAAGGUGGGGACGACGUCAAAUCAUCAUGCCCCUUAUGACCUGGGCUACACACGUAAUACAAUGGCCGUUAACAGAGGGAAGCAAAGCGGUGACGCAGAGCAAAACCCUAAAAACGGUCCCAGUUCGGACUGUAGGCUGCAACCCGCCUACACGAAGUUGGAAUUGCUAGUAAUCGCGGAUCAGCAUGCCGCGGUGAAUACGUUCCCGGGCCUUGUACACACCGCCCGUCACACCAUGAGAGUCGGGAACACCCGAAGUCCGUAGCCUAACCGCAAGGAGGGCGCGGCCGAAGGUGGGUUCGAUAAUUGGGGUGAAGUCGUAACAAGGUAGCCGUUCGAGAACGAGCGGCUG